CCCUCCCUCUGGCGGCAUGCCUAACACAUGCAAGUCGAACGAGACCUUCGGGUCUAGUGGCGCACGGGUGCGUAACGCGUGGGAACCUGCCCUUAGGUUCGGAAUAACUCCCCGAAAGGGGUGCUAAUACCUGAUAAUGUCUUCGGACCAAAGAUUUAUCGCCUUUGGAUGGGCCCGCGUUGGAUUAGCUAGUUGGUAGGGUAACAGACUACCAAGGCGACGAUCCAUAGCUGGUCUGAGAGGAUGAUCAGCCACACUGGGACUGAGACACGGCCCAGACUCCUACGGGAGGCAGCAGUAGGGAAUAUUGGACAAUGGGCGAAAGCCUGAUACAGCAAUGCCGCGUGAGUGAUGAAGGCAUUAGGGUUGUAAAGCUCUUUUACCCGGGAUGAUAAUGACAGUACCGGGAGAAUAAGCUCCGGCUAACUCCGUG
rnacentral:rRNA from 1 species